rnacentral:rRNA from 1 species
GAUGAACGCUAGCUACAGGCUUAACACAUGCAAGUCGAGGGGUAACAAGGGGAAAGCUUGCUUUCCUUGUUGACGACCGGCGCACGGGUGAGUAACGCGUAUCCAACCUGCCUAUAACUAGGGAAUAACCUUGCGAAAGUAAGACUAAUACCCUAUGAUUUCCUUUGAUGACAUCAGAUUAGGAAUAAAGAUUUAUCGGUUAUAGAUGGGGAUGCGUCUGAUUAGCUUGUUGGCGGGGUAAGGGCCCACCAAGGCAACGAUCAGUAGGGGUUCUGAGAGGAAGGUCCCCCACAUUGGAACUGAGACACGGUCCAAACUCCUACGGGAGGCAGCAGUGAGGAAUAUUGGUCAAUGGGCGGAAGCCUGAACCAGCCAAGUAGCGUGCAGGAUGGCGGCCCUAUGGGUUGUAAACUGCUUUUAUACAGGAAUAAAGUUAGCCACGUGUGGUUAUUUGUAGGUACCGUAUGAAUAAGGACCGGCUAAUUCCGUGCCAGCAGCCGCGGUAA